rnacentral:lncRNA from 1 species
ACUGGCUUUGUGGUGCCACCAUAUAUAGUGCUCUUCUCAUUGACCACCAAUGAAAGAGGUGCCCCUUCAGGAAGUGUGGUUGGGGCUGGAUACAUGGGCUCAGGGGGCCACAUUGACUCACGGGACAUAGUUUGGGGACCCCUGCCCUAGACUAAGAUCAGAAUCAGACUGUGAUUUCUGGAAGCUGAUGAUUCUGUCUCCUCUGCUACUGGCUUUCAGGACUUGGCAAAGUGAACUAUUUUUGGCCUGGCUAGGACUUCACUUCAGCACAGACUUGAAAGGGCCAAACCUAUGGACUUCUGAGCCUUGCUUCAGGCUGGUGCCAGGGCAUAUGACUUCAAGGAGUGUUCAACUACAGAAGAUGGAACAACAUUCUAGAAAUUGAUGGUGGAUUUUCUGGAAUUGAGAUUCUACAAUAAAUGCCCCAAAGGGGUUCA